rnacentral:lncRNA from 10 species
UAGAAAUAUUUUUAAUCCUGCUCAUUGGAAUAAUUUGUCCUUGAUAUAACUUUAUAUACUUUUUGAGUAGCUAAACCAUUAAACAGAUACCUAAAUAUACAUGGUUAUUCAGUGAAAAUCAUCCUCAGUCCACUCAGUACAACUAUUACUCAAAAUAAAAUCACGUUCUUAGUUUCUUGUCAAUCUUUCCAAUGGUUUUAGGCAUACAGAAGCAAAUGUUUUUACAAAUAUUUUGCUUAAGUUGCAAAACUAAUAUCAUACUAUAUAUAUAUAUCAGCACCAUUCUUUAUUCACAUUAAAUAUAUAUUGAUGAUUCUUCUAUAAAAAGGGCUAGCUCCUUUUUUUGCUAAAUGUCAUUCCAUUGUACAGGUGUGCUCUAAUUUAUUUAGGCAGUCUUGAUCUGACACUUAAGUUAUGUACAACAUUUCACUAUGAACGGCUCUGUGACAAUUCAUAAUAACUUUAAUAUACAGUUGACUCUUGAACAACACAAGUUUGAACUGAACAGGCCCAUUUAUAUGUGAUUUUUAAAAAUUAAAGUUACAGCAAGUGUGACUGCCUUUCCUACCUUCCCUCCACUUCAUCUACCUCUUCUGCCUCUGCCACUCUUGAGACAGCAAGAUCAACCCCUUUUCUUCUUCCUCCUCCUAAGCCUACUCAGCAUGAAGAUGAGAAAGAUGAAGAUCACUAUGAUGAUCCACUUCCACUUUAUGAAUAGUAAAUAUAUUUUGUAUAUUUUCUCCUCCCAGGUUCACGCCAUUCUCCUGCCUUGGCCUCCCGAGUAGCUGGGACUACAGGCACCCGCCACCACACCCGGCUAAUUUUUUUGUAUUUUUAUUAGAGAUGGGGUUUCACCAUGUUAGCCAGGAUGGUCUCAAUCUUCUGACCUAGAGAUCCGCCUGCCUCGGCCUCCCAAAGUGCUGAGAUUAAAGGCGUGAGUCACCGUGCCCGGCCUGAUUUUCUUAAUAACAUUCUGUUAUUUAGCUUAAUUUUUUGUUAAGAAUACAGUGUAUAAUACAAAUUACAUACAAAAUAUAUUUUAAUUUACUUUUUAUGUUGUUAGUAAGGCUUCUGGUCAGUAGUAGGCUAUUAGUGAUUGAGUGGUUGUGCUUAAGUAAACUUUAUUUUACUUAACAGUAAUCCCAAAGCUCAAGAUUAAUAAUACUGGCAUACUAUCUUAAUUUUUUAUUGUAUUAUUAGUUAUUGUUAUCUCUGCUGUUCCUAAUUUAUAAAUUAAGCUGUAUGAUAGAUAUGUAUAUAUAGGAAAAAACUUAGUAUACAUAGGAUAUGUUACUACCUGCAAUUCCAUGCACCCCCAGGGGGUUCUUGGAACAGAUCCACUGAGGAUAAGGGGGAACUAUUAUAUUAAUUAAUGGCGCCAUUCUUCUUUGCAUACCUUAGAUUCCAAAUGCAUAUAUUCUUUCCACUAGAGCCACAGAGCCAUCAAAGGUCUUCUGUUCAACCUAUCUGCUGCAUCCUAGAUGAUGAAACACAAUUCUCAGAAAGUACUGGCUCCAAACUGACAUUUUAGCUGUGCGGGCCUUUUCAACUCUCUCUCCAGCUGACAGCUUCUGGAUGGUUCUGGGGACUGAGAAGUUUAAGAUCAAGGCAGCCGCAAGUUUGGUGUCUGAUAAGGACCCCACCUCUGCUUCUAAGAUGCAACCUCCAGAGGGAGGGAACACUGUUCCCCACAUGGCAGAACAGAGGAGCUGAAAUUCAUUUCUGAAUGCCCUUUUCAACAGUUGUUUAACCCACCCAUGUGGGCAGAUCCCUCCUGGCCUAAUCACCUCAUAAAGGCCUCACUUCCCAAUAUCAUUACACUGAUGAUUAAAUAUCAACGUUAAGUUUUGAUAUAAAUAUUCAAACCAUGGCAGUUGUCUAUUUGAAUUUUACCUUCAAAAACUCUGUUCACUUACAUUAUCAUGUGGAACACCAUACUUCUUUGAGUUUGCUUCUUUCUUUCUCUCUCUCUCCCUCUCUGGAUAUGCCUUCUCAGUUCCUCUUCAUUCAAUUUAUUCUGCCUGUUCUUUACAAUAUGUCUAUUAUUUAGAGAUCAGUGACAGUUCAAAUUGCUUCUUAUUUGUAAUGACUUUUAUCUCAUUUUCAUGCCUUUAAUUAUUAUUGAUGGACUGAUAAUUCCCAGGUCUCUUCUGCCAGCUCAGAUAUCACUAAUCAUAGCUGGAUUUAUAUAUACACUGCUUUUGAGACAUCAUUCAAAUCAUGCUUCUCAAAAGAUGACCCAAGUUCUUUGAUUCUUAGUUGUUGGGGUGUGUGUGUGUGUAUGUGUAUGUGUGUGUGUGUGUGCACAUAUUUCUAUACACGGCACUACUACAAUUCACCCACACCCCAAGUCAGACACAAGUUCAUUGACAUUGUCACAGGCCACAGACAAUGAUGUCACAGAAACUCUUAGUGAAAUUGUAUACUUUUGAGGGUGCGAUCCCAGAAUCUGAAGCCAGAAUCAUGCUUUUUUAAAGUAACUGCAUGAUCUUGGGCAAUUAAUGCAAUAAUUCUGUGCCUUAAUUCCCACAUCUGCCAAAUUGAAAUUAAAGUAGAACUCAACACAAAGGUUUUUGUGUGGGUUAAAUACAUUGAGAUAUACACAGCACCUAACUAUAUAAACACUCUAUGUGGCAGCUACUGCUGUGUUAAGAGUAUCAUGAUUGAUAACAUCUACUAAAUCUCUCCCUCUUGCCUCACUGUUAUUUUGCUAAUUCAGAAUUCUAUGAUUUUGAAAGUAUCACUGAAAAAGCUAACUUCUCUCUGAAAAAGCUAACUUCUCUCCUCAGUGUUGUUGGUUCAUAAUCCUUUCUAUGUAUUACAGUGAUUUUACUAAAAUGGGAAUAGGAUCAAGUUGCUUCUUUAAAUAAAAUUCUUUAAUAAGGUUAUACAAUAUUUUCCUAUAUGUUCAUUCUUGUUCCUCCUGGCUAUCCAUCCGCCUUAUUAGGAAUUUUCUGGUUGUUUUAUCUUUCUACAUAAAAUUUGGGCUUGACUUCACAGUGAUUGCAGAAAACAUUUCUAUUUUACUGUUCUUUUAAAUUUAUAUAUUAAUAUUGACAGAAUUGUCAUCAUUAUGGUGUUGUGUUUUUAUUACAAG